rnacentral:rRNA from 1 species
UACGUAGGCGCCAAUCGUUAUCCGGAUUCACUGGGCGUAAAGCGUCCGCAGGUGGAUUUGUAAGUCUAAUGUUUAAAUAUCUCGGCUUAACCGAGGGAAGGUAUUGGAAACUACAAGUCUAGAGGCCGGUAGAGGCUGUCGGAACUUAUCGAGUAGGGGUAAUAUCCGUUGAUACGAUAAGGAACGCCAAAGGCGAAGGCAGACAGCUGGGCCGGCCCUGACACUCAUGGACGAAAGCGUGGGGAGCGAACGGG